GACCGUCAUAUCGUUGUUCAAGAAGGCUACGUAUCGACCUUGGGCCAUUCCAAGCCCUUCGUUCAGGCCGAAUAUGUACGUAUUGGAUGGGAGCGCCACGACUCUCACUGUCGGGAAAAGCUCAGCCAACUUCCCCGUCGUCCCAUCCGUGGACCCGUUGUCGACGACUAUAAUCUCGUCCUCGCUCGACGCGGCGUUCAACAGGCUCCGUAUGCACGGCUCUAGCAAAUCCCAUCCAUCAUAGGUC
rnacentral:misc_RNA from 1 species